rnacentral:rRNA from 1 species
AACGAACGCUGGCGGCAUGCCUAACACAUGCAAGUCGAACGAGACCUUCGGGUCUAGUGGCGCACGGGUGCGUAACGCGUGGGAACCUGCCCUUAGGUUCGGAAUAACUCCCCGAAAGGGGUGCUAAUACCGGAUAAUGUCUUCGGACCAAAGAUUUAUCGCCUUUGGAUGGGCCCGCGUUGGAUUAGCUAGUUGGUAGGGUAAAAGCCUACCAAGGCGACGAUCCAUAGCUGGUCUGAGAGGAUGAGCAGCCACACUGGGACUGAGACACGGCCCAGACUCCUACGGGAGGCAGCAGUGGGGGAUAUUGGACAAUGGGCGAAAGCCUGAUCCAGCAAUGCCGCGUGAGUGAUGAAGGCCUUAGGGUUGUAAAGCUCUUUUACCCGGGAUGAUAAUGACAGUACCGGGAGAAUAAGCUCCGGCUAACUCCGUG